rnacentral:rRNA from 1 species
GAUGAACGCUGGCGGCGUGCCUAAUACAUGCAAGUCGAGCGAAUGGAUUAAGAGCUUGCUCUUAUGAAGUUAGCGGCGGACGGGUGAGUAACACGUGGGUAACCUGCCCAUAAGACUGGGAUAACUCCGGGAAACCGGGGCUAAUACCGGAUAACAUUUUGAACCGCAUGGGUCGAAAUUGAAAGGCGGCGUCGGCUUUCACUUAUGGGUGGACCCGGGUCGCAUUAGCUAGUUGGUGAGGUAACGGCUCACCAAGGCAAGGAUGCGUAGCCGACCUGAGAGGGUGAUCGGCCACACUGGGACUGAGACACGGCCCAGACUCCUACGGGAGGCAGCAGUAGGGAAUCUUCCGCAACGGACGAAAGUCUGACGGAGCAACGCCGCGUGAGUGAUGAAGGCUUUCGGGUCGUAAAACUCUGUUGUUAGGGAAGAACAAGUGCUAGUUGAAUAAGCUGGCACCUUGACGGUACCUAACCAGAAAGCCACGGCUAACUACGUGCCAGCCGCCGCUGUAA